rnacentral:lncRNA from 7 species
CCGAGCGUGCACCCCGCGCGCGCGGUCGGAGCGGGGUGUCCGCCUUAAAGGGAUGAUCCUCUUGUUUUGCAUGUGAAAAAAAUCGUCUGAGAUUUACAGCCCUCCCAAACGGAGAUAAAGCCUUGGCAAUGAGUUGGAAACCUGUUGUAAUCUGUGAUCCAGGAAACAAAGAGCCUCAUUAAUGCAGAGACUUUGGUUUUCGUUCAUUUAAUAGGAGCAGUUUGGAUUACUCUCUCUGGACACACUUCAUCCUCUCCUACAUGCCUAUUUAGUGCAAGGACCACAUCUACCACUGGCAGGCUGAACAUCCCCAUCUGCCUUCCUAUCUCAUUGCAUCCGGAGCCGAUACAUUUCCCCAGUACAUGUCUACAUGCUUCAAACAAUGCUUUGAUUCAAGAACAGAUUUAUCAGCGCGUUUUUCAUAGCCAAUUCAGCAGUUCUGCACUAACUGAGGAACCUUCUAAAUAUUUUCCGUUCUUCUGGAGAAUCACAUGCAUGGGUGCCCCGUAAGGACGGCCUGAUUGAUAGAUUGGCAGCGUGGAUUUUCUGAUGAGCUGGAAAAGCUCCCUCGUGUGCUCUGGCUGGGAGCUCCUGGAGGACGGGCUGCUACCAGCUGAACUAAUCCUGGCAAGUGACCAGCGUAAAUCAGGCCACUAAAAGCUCUGUUUUGCCCAAAGGGGUUUACACUGGUAUAAUUACCUUGGCGUAGUCAUAGCAGGAAUAUUUCCUUAGUCUAGACAAGCUUUAAUGGGUAAAAUAGAUUUAUCGUUUGCAACUGAAACAUCUCGACCGGCGAAGACAGCACAAAGCCGUGCCACCUUCCUUCCACUUUGCCACCCCUUGUCACAGUGCUGGGUGCAGCAGGGCUCCGGUCUGGAGCCCCUCCACUUGUAGGUCUGUGGUAGAAAAAGGGGAAAGGCAAUCACUCAUAAGUUUUCCUGCUUGUCUCACUCUGCCCAUCUUAAUCCUGCACGAUCCUAUGUACUUGUUUGACUUCAUGCCUUGAUCUGAUCACCCUUCACUGGCAGCUGCUGAAAGAUUGUUUUAAAAAUACCAACAAAACAUUGACUUCUUGAAGUCGUGAUAUUUAAGUCGCUUUCCAAUGUGUACAUGCUUUUCUGGAAGCAUUUCCGGCUGUUGUGACUGCAGAUUCCCCUUUCACCCUUGGGAGGCAAACGGCAGAGGCCCUGCAGCAUCCUGCAUCUCCAGAAAACCCACGUGAAAGAGGGUAAGCUUUCUAAAAGGGCUUUAUUGGAUAUAAAGUGCCAACCUCUGAAAUGCAGCUUGGAGGCUGUGAUCUUUGGAUACCUCCCUGCGUGCACAGCACAACGUGGCACAGCACGCUGUCAAAUCUCACUAGCAUAGUUUUUGGUUUUCCCUCUUAGAAAAUCCCCUAUUUCAAUAUUGUCAGGAUGUGAGAUGGUCUCUUUGGGCAGUUUUCACUUAAAAAGUCUUGUCUUUGCUCCUGAUACAAGUGAUAGUUCAGAUUCUUAAAGGACUUUGAAGACUCACCUGUUUUGCACUCUGUUUUGUUCACCUCAUGCUUCAGAUCUGGAUCAACCAGCUGGCAUCGUGCUUAAUAUUCCUUAUUACUUUCACUGCUCGGUUCUCAGGCACUUGCCCAAUGCUGAAAGAUUUGAGUUUCACACAGGAAGGAGCAUGUUUAUUUGUUUACAAAAACACUUUUCCAGGGCUGCAUCCUGUGGUCAUACAACCAUCCAAGCAGCCUCAGCUCCAAUGAGUCAUCUCUCUAAAUU